UACAGAGGGGGCAAGCGUUAUUCGGAAUUAUUGGGCGUAAAGGGCGCGUAGGCGGCCUGGCAAGUGGAAGGUGAAAUCCCUCGGCUUAACCGAGGAACUGCCCUCCAAACUGCUUGGCUUGAGUCCGGGAGAGGUGAGUGGAAUUCCCAGUGUAGCGGUGAAAUGCGUAGAUAUUGGGAGGAACACCAGUGGCGAAGGCGGCUCACUGGACCGGAACUGGCGCUGAGGCGCGAAAGCGUGGGGAGCAAACGGG
rnacentral:rRNA from 1 species